rnacentral:rRNA from 1 species
GAUGAACGCUGGCGGCGUGCCUAAUACAUGCAAGUCGAGCGAACGGACGAGAAGCUUGCUUCUCUGAUGUUAGCGGCGGACGGGUGAGUAACACGUGGAUAACCUACCUAUAAGACUGGGAUAACUUCGGGACACCGGAGCUAAUACCGGAUAAUAUUUUGAACCGCAUGGUUCAAAAGUGAAAGACGGUCUUGCUGUCACCUAUCGAUGGAUCCGCGCUGCAUUAGCUAGUUGGUAAGGUAACGGCUUACCAAGGCAAGGAUGCAUAGCCGACCGGAGAGGGUGAUCGGCCACCUGGGAAGUGAGCCACGGUCCAGGCGCCUACGGGAGGCAGCAGUAGGGAAUCUUCCGCAAUGGGCGAAAGCCUGACGGAGCGACGCCGCGUGAGUGAUGAAGGUCUUCGGAUCGUAAAACUCUGUUAUUAGGGAAGAACAUAUGUGUAAGUAACUGUGCAGAUCUUGACGGUACCUAAUCAGAAAGCCACGGCUAACUACGUG